UCAAAUGUUCUUUUCCCCCCUCUUUUUUAUUUAUUUUUGGUGGUGGGUGAAAUUAUAGAUUUUAUAAACAAGUAAAAUGUAUGUAAAAACUAAAGGGGGCAUCAGCAAAUUUGGUAGGGCUAAUUUUUAUGUGACUAUACGUAAUAAAUAAUUGCUUUUGAAGUUGCAGUUAUUGUGCCAGCGGUAGUGGGGGAAGGGGUUAUGGUGGCAGUGAGGGAGGGGGUUAUGGCGGCGGCUGUGAGGAUGAUGGCCGUGAUGGUGGAGGCAGAGAAGGUAAC
rnacentral:lncRNA from 1 species